GUAGCGACGGAUAGCAACCACGUGAUCAAUAAAAAUUGUGUAUUUUCACGUGAAUUCAUUUUCCGGAAUUCCUUACUCCGUCAUAGAAUAGUCGAAAAACAAAAAGGGGUUCCGAAAGUGUUUUAUUGCUGUGACUGACUCGCCUACAUAUACGUCAAUAUCUGUAAUAAUUGUAGAUCAGAUGUUUCAUCUGUGUGAAACUUUUUGCUAAUCGAAAUGUUAAACCAACCACCAAUCCAUGUACAUAGAUGCGCUACGUAAACAAAGUUGUUGGUUGAUACAUCGUAAUGUCCGAGUGCAGCAUGCUGCGAGAUUAAAUACUGUUUAUACAGUCAUUGAGAGGCUAAACAAAGUUUCUUGCAAGAAGAGGAAGUUGGUGGAUGCAUUCAACUUGGACAACGAAAUCAUAGUUUCGUUUGGCAUCAGCCUGAGGACCAAGGGAAGUUAGAUAGGACCAGUGCAGGUUGAAGUGGAUUUCGAGUCAACAAGUAUAACAGCAAAAGAGGUACUCCAUUUACAGUGAUGAUGACAUAUACCCUGGACCCCCACAACUCCACAAAUUUAAAAAUGUUUGAUCAAGUUCUGAAGAUUAAAGAACUACUGCAAAAUUUGGGACUUGGAUGAAAAACAUUAAUUCACUUGUAUGAGCUCAGGGCAGUGUAUGUUGUACAACAUACUUUAUACUAAAUUGUGAAUUUAAGGGAGAACAAGUACAUGUACUCGUGUAUUACAUGUACAUGCCUUUUGAAAGACAAUAAUAUUGCAUAGAUGUAAAGGAAAUUUCAAUGAAUGAAAUAUGAA